rnacentral:tRNA from 2 species
GCCGGCGUGGCGGAACUGGCAGACGCGCAGGACUUAAAAUCCUGUGGUAGCAAUAUCGUACCGGUUCGAUUCCGGUCGCCGGCA